rnacentral:lncRNA from 1 species
GCCACGACGGGAACUCCCUAUUAUUAUUUUUUUAAUGUCGAUAACUGAAACCUAUGGAAGUUCCCAGGCCAAAGAUAUUGACUCUCAGUUGCAGCUGCCACCUAUGCUGUAGCUAUGUCAAUGCCAGAUCCUUUAACCCACUUCGCCAGGCCAGGGAUCAAACCUGCGCCUCGGCAGUGACAUUAGCCACUGCAAUUGGAUUCUUAACCCAUGCACCACAGCAGGAACUCUUGUUUUCUAUUACAAAAUAUUUGAAACAUACAGAAAAUUAUGGAAAACAAUAUAAACAAAUUCUUAUGUACCUAAUAUUAACUUAUUUUCUUCAGAACGUUUAGUUUUUAAGAAAUGUAAUGUUACAGGUAUAGUAUAAGCUUUACUCUCUUACCUUUUCUUUCCUACUUGUACUCAAAAAAAUCAGUAUGUUGAAGGAACUAUAAAUCAUCCCUAUGCAUGUCUUUAUUAUCUUUACUAUAUGCAUGCCUCCAAAAAUGAUUUUGUCUUAAAAUUAAAAAUUACAAUACCGAACUGUUUUGAGAGUCUCUUACAACUUGCUUUUUAAAUCUUGUGAUUUUUUUUAACGUAACCAUAUUUUUAUAUGUGGAUUCACUGAUUUCAUUACUUCAUUGAUUUCAACUGCUGAUUAAUACAGCAUUAAAUCACUAAACCACAGUUUUUCUACCUCUUACUGAAAGACAUGUAGGUUCUUUGCAAUUUAUCUACUAUUUCUAACAGUAACUCAUGAACUUCCUUAUAAAGGGGAUUUCCUUGUGUAUUUGUGGGAGAGUCUGAUUUCUAGGGCAGCCCUUCUCAAACUUUGACCUCAGGACUCCUUUAUAUGCUUAAUAUGUAUUGAGGACCCUAAGAACUUUUUUUUUCUUUAUGGCCGCACCUGCAGCAUAUGGAAGUUCCCAGGCCAGGGACUGAAUCCAAGCCACAGCUGCAACCUGUGCCACAGCUGCAGCAAUACUUGAUCCUUUCACCCACUGCACUGGGCUGGGGAUCAAACCCGCGCCUCCACAGCAACCUGAGCCACUGCAGUCAGAUUCUCAACCCACUGCACCACGGCAGGAACUCCAGGAGCUUUUGUUUAAGGGGGUAAUUUCACAGCUACCAGUUUAGAAAUUAAAACUGAGAAUUAAAAAACAUGUGUCCUCAUUAAUUACUUUUAAAAAUAAACAUAUAAGUAACAUUUUUAUGCAGAUGUUUUUCAAAAUAAAUAUAGUAAGAUGAAUAGCAUUGGUUUGAGUGGGUUUUUCUGGCCACACCCAUGGCACACAGAAUUUUCCAAGCCAGGGAUCAAACACUCGCCACAGCAGCAACCGGAGCCAGGACAAUGAAAACACUGGAUCCUGAAUCCACUGAGCCAACAGAGAACUCCAGCUUUCACUUCUCACAAAUCUAACAUCUAUUGUAUUAUAUGGUUUUAGUUUUGGUUGAAGUCUAUAAAGAAAAUUGCUUUUUAGGGCCACACCUGCAGCAUAUGGAGGUUCCCGGGCUAGGGGUCCAGUUGGAGCUACAGCUGCUAACCCUACGCCACAGCCACAGCAAUACAGGAUCCAGCCUGGGUCUGUGACCUACACCACAGCUCACGGUAACUCCAGAUCCUUAACCCACUGAGUGAGGCCAGAGAUCGAACCCACAACCUCAUGGUUCCUAGUCGGAUUUGUUUCCGCUGCACCACGAUGGGAACUCCCGUCCCUCUUAUACUUUGAAUAGAUAUCUUACUCGUGAUUUUUGUAACAUCACACAUUGAUCAUUUGGAAAAUACUCGUUCACCAAGUCCUGCAUGCAGAUCUUCCAGAUGUUGGCAUACUUCAUCAUACACGAGCAAAAAUUUGUUUUAUUAACAUCGCCUCUGAUCUUUUCAAAAAGAUCUUUAGGUGUGAGAAGCUGCCAUGCUUACGGUGGCAGAAAUAAGUUCCCUAAAAUUUGAAGGUUCAAAUUUUAUCCUUGGCAACAAAUAUUAUCAGUUGUUUUCCUUAUUUCACUUCAUUUUUGAGAAAAUAUCUGCCAAACAGCCAAACCUGAAUAACCAUGGUUUAUAAGUUGUUCUCUCAAGGAAAAAUACUGUUCCAUGAAAAAACUGGCUAGCUCAUCUUUCAAUGCAAGAAAGUCGCACAUAGGCUUUUUCCUCCAGACAGUAGUACUAGGGUACUCAGCAGAUGGCUUUAUGUGCAAUUCCCAUGUCAUUACACAGAGUUUUAAAAAGACAAGGACUCUGGAGUCAAAAUUUUUAAAAAUUAAAAAUUUUACUGUUCCAGGUAGAACAUUCUUUAGUAAUAUUGUUUUCCCCCUACACAACGCAUGGCAAUGCAGAAUGCAGUGAUGGCUGGUACCAUCUGGGGCACUGGUUCAUGCUAAGGUACCAGCGAUCUUCUCCACUGUGGCUUUUUACACCGUCUGCACAAAUGUUAACACAGCAAAAGAGACAAAUAAGAUCUUAAUGUUAUUCCUAAAAUAGUUUUGACUUUGCAGGUGCUGUGGAAGCAGCUCAAAGAUCCCUGGAGGUAUGGGAUUACACUUUGAGAACUGCUGCUCUCGGGUAUCUAAACAGAAGCCGAACUGCUAGGUGGUUAAAUGUGCACAUCCCACUUUUACUUGUCAUUCCCAGAUCACUCUUCAAGGUGGGUUUAUUAACUUUACUCCCACCAGCAAUACGGGCUAUCCCAUACCCUCAAAUCCUGCUCAUUGCUUGAUUUAAUCCAAUUUAUAUUUUGCCAAUCCAAUGGGUAUGAAGUAGUGUCUCAUUUUUACAUUAACCACAUCAUAGCAUUUCAAAGAUAUUUAGAAUGUUCUUUCAAAGCAGUUUUUUAAUCACAUAUAGUUAGAUGGUAUUUACUGCACUAAUAAUUGAGGUAAUAGACAAAGUUAUAAAUAUAAAAUAUAAAAUCUCUUUCAAAAUACGUGUAAGAGGGUUUUCCCCUGGCUUUCAUGUGGGCAAAAUAUUUUCCACUUUGCUUCAAUUUCCUUUUGCAAUUUUCCAAAUGAGAGAGCUUCUGGGGAAUGCUGGUCUAGAGUUUUUAAUCAUUUAUUUCCUGUAAACAUUGCCAGGCCACAUGUGAUUUGGUUUCAGAAUUGCGGUUGAUUACACUGCAGAUUUGAGCCUACAGAUCUCAGGGAUGUGGUGCUCCUACGUUAGUUCCUUUCACCCUAUGUGUCUAAGUUGUUGAAAAGCUCCCAUGGAUCUGUAGACGGUGAUAACUAGCUGUGCUGACUUAGUGAGAAGUAGUAGAUCAAUCUCCAACAUGACACCUCUCAGGGAACUUUCCAGGAUAAGUUUGACAGUGUGUGAUUUUUGCCUUACAUGUUGACUUCACAGGCAACGCCCAUGUAAGAAGCAAGGCCAUUCUAAAUAAGCAGUCCUAUGUGGGAGUCUGAAUUAACAGUCAUCAAAUUUCUCAUUUAUUUCAGCAACAUUUAUCGCUUUGGGUUCUCAGCAUCUGUUCAUCUAGACUAGAGGCUGGUAAACGUCUCUGUAAAAACCCAGAUGGUAAAUAUUUCAGGCUGUGUGAGCCACAGCGUAUCUGUUGCAACUGCCCCACUCUGUGGAGUAGGGCAAAAGCAGCCAUAGAGGACAGGUAACCCUAUGGUGUGGUCGUGUUUCAAUAAAACUUUAUUUACAAAAACAGGAUAAGGCUAUAGUUGGCUGACUCCUGGUCUAGAUUGCCUCUUCAUCUGUUUCUCUGGGCAAAGCUUUUGCUCGUCCUUUAAUGUCUAUGCUUCCAGUAUGAUGGUUUGUAGUUUACAAUUCAUAUAAGUUCACAUGUGUGUUGUUGAAUCUUUAAUGAAAAAAAAAGUAAAUACAAGAAGUUGGAAAUGAAACUAAUGUGGAUAAUCAAUAAGAUUAUUAUUACUAGGUUAUUAAAUCACAAAUACUCUGAGAGAGCAUUAAAAAAAACACAUGCUGGAGUUUCCUUCGUGGCUCAGUGGUUAACAAAUCUGACUAGGAACCAUGAGGUUGCAGGUUGAACUCGCUCAGUGGGUUAAGGAUCCAUCGUUGCUGUGAGCUAUGGUGUAGGUCGCAGAUGCAACUUGGAUCUGGUGUUGCUGUGGCUCUAGCGUAGGCUGGCGGCUACAGCUCUGAUUAGACCCCUAGUCUGAGAACCUCCACAUGCCACAGGUGCAGCCCUAAAACAAAACAAAACAAACAAACAAAAAAACCACACAUGCCAAUUAGAUCACCAUGACAAUGAUAUUUGCAUGGCAGCUGUGCUUUUGAGGCCCUCCACUGCUCUCUAGAUAAAGUGAACUCAAAUUGAGCCUGAAAGUCUCCCUGGAGAAGGAGCUGAUUCCAGGUCUGGGACAAGGGAAAUGCAAGAGGAGCCUGAGGGAGUUUCUGUUCUGGCUCAGCGGGUUAAGAACCCGAUAGAGUGUGUAAGGAUAUGGCAUUGCCGAAAGUUGCAGCAUAGGAUACAGAUGCAGCUUGGAUACUGCAUUGCUGUGGCUGUGGCAUGGGCUGGCAGCUAUAGCUCCAAUUUGACCCCUAGCCAGGAAACUUCUAUAAGCCACAGAUGAAGCUGAGAAAGAAAAGAAAGAAAGAAAGAAAGAAAGAGAGAAAAAGAAAGAAAGAAAGAGAGAGGAAGGAAGGAAGGAAGGAAAGAAGGAAGGAAGGAAGGAAGAAAGAAAAAGAGGUACCUGAAACAUUUGGUUAUGGUUAGCUCAAAGAAUAACAGAGACACAGAAAUGGACUUGAAGGGAUCCUUGGGGCCAAAUCUGGGACAAUUUAAGGAUUUAAAUAAAUAAUAAUGAUAAUGAAUUAUAACUCAUUGAACAAAUUAUAACUCAUUGAAUAACAUAAGAAUCCUCAAAUCCACACUGAUUUCAAUAAACAGAUAAAUGCAUAAAUGACAGAGAAGAGAAAAUUCUUCCUACUAAUACAAUGCCUAGUAAUAAAUAUAGAAGGGAGGAUGAGGUAGAAAAUCACCAACAGAUGCUAAAACUAGUGGGUGAAAGUUUGAUCAGGAGCACAGUAUUUUCAUGGCCUCAAAGUAUCUUCCCACAAAUUACUUAUUUAUUCCAGAGGAAAUUGUAGUAACUCUACGAUGGAGAAACUUGGCAGAAAUCACCUUACCAAAUGAUGAAAGAUAAUAUCACUAAUACUGGGGGCAAAUGAACAGCAGGUGACUCCCGCUGUGACACACUGAAAAGAACACAACAUCACUUCUGUGAAAUUCCUGUCCGAAAGCAUUAGUUGAAUCUAAUCAUGGAAAAGCAUCAGACAAACCCAAAUCCAGGAACAUAUUACAAAAUAACUAGGCUGCUUUCUUAAAAAACACUGUGAAAGUCAACCAGAGAAGCAAGGAAAAGAGAGGCCAUCAGGAAGUAUGGGUGGGAACUUGUGGCCAUGGGCUAAGGGUGCUGUGCACAGGCAGAAUUUUUCUUCUCUAGGGAAAUUUCAGCUCUGUUUUUAUGACUUUUCAACUGACCGAAUCAGGCCCAUCCAAAUUUUCAACGCUAAUCUCUCUUAAAUUCAACUGAUUACAGCAUUGAAUCACAUCCACAAAAUAUUGUCAUGGCAAUGCCUAGAUUAAUGUUUGAUUGAAUAACUGGGAACUCUAGCCUAGCCAAGUUGAUACAUCAGAAAAAAAAUAUCAUUGGAAUUCUCUUGGGGCACAGCGGGUUAAGGAUCCGGUAUUGUCACUGCAAUGGCCUUGGUUGCUGCUGUGGCGUGGGUUCAGUUCUUGGCCUAGGAACUUCCAUGUGCUGCAGGCAAGGCCAAAAAAAAAAACGAGAGACAGAAAGAAAAGAAAAAAAAAUCGCAAAUACUAAACCCCAAGGCUGCCCAUGGAGCUGGAAGUUAUUUGUUUCAAACCAGGUGGCCAUGGGCCUCUCUCUGUGCACAGAAGUAGCAAAGAUUAUCCCAAGCUUGGUAACUUAAGCUCAGACGGGCUACACAGACAACUUCGCUUAUAGAUAAAUGCAUAGUGAGUUGGCUCUCAAGAAACCUUGGAGGCCAUAGGGUCCUUGAAGAGGGCAGGUGCCCCACCCACUAGGACAAGCUUCUGGGUAUCCCUGAGGCGCUGCUUUGAAUUUACCAGUGCUUUCCAAACUGUGGGUUACAACCCACAUGUGGACAACAAAAAUCAAUUCAGGAGGCGAUUGAGUCACACUUUUUUUUUUUUUUUUCUUUUUUUUCAUUUUGGCUGUGCCAGUGGCAUGUAUAAGUUCCCAGGCCAGGGAUCAAAGCCAAGCCACAGCAGCAACCCAGGCCACUUCAGUGACAACGUCAGAUCCUUAACCUGCUGCACCACAAGAGAACUCCAUACCUUUUUUUUUCUUUUAAUAAAAGAGAAUGAAAUAGAAAAUGGCAGAGUGCAUCACACACAAUAAAGAUGUGUUUCAGGAGUGUGUGUGUGUGUGUGUGUGUGUGUCUUUCCUCAUAACUCUCGGCAGAUUUCCUUUAACUCAGAGGUGUUAACACCCUAUGUCAAAAAGUGAGGCACGGGAGGGGAGGUGGAGGGUAGGAAGGAAUCUGAAAUUUGAGAGGAAAGCAUUGAAGAAGGGAAGGUGCAGAGGGCUGGAGGGGGCGUGGUUCUGCUGGAGUCUUGUCUUGUCUCCUGUACUCUAGGUACCCACUCUGACUUCAAGGGCUGAUGGGAGGGGAAAGGAGGGAAGAUGAAGCAGGCACAGUGCUUGCUUUUAUCUUGUUGGUUUGCAGAUCUCCAAGCAAAGUCAGAAGAAAGUAGCCUCUAUUUGCCUCAUGCGCAGACAAACAAACUGAGGCACAGGAAAGGCAGGUCACGUGGGAACUCUAG